rnacentral:rRNA from 1 species
CUGGCCAUAAACGAUGCAUGCUAGGUAUUGGCACCGCGUUGGUGCUGGUACCGCAGCUAACGCGUUAAGCAUGCCGCCUGGGGAGUAUGCUCGCAAGAGUGAAACUCAAAGGAAUUGACG